UGCUCUUUUAUGUCUAUGUUGUUUCCUUCACACUUACGUUUCUGUGAUUCAUCCACUAGGCACUGCAAUGAAUGCUGCUGCACACGCUGUUGAGCUCGUGGACACUUUCCUGCUGGGUGAGGACCCGAACGUGAAAUUGCUGGGUCAUGGAUUCAAGUGCUACACAUAUUUUUGACCACAUUACUGUGACUCAGGAAGCCCAGGAACAGAAUUCUAGGCACCAGAACCAUACAUGUUACAGCCUCUGAGCUUUAUGGCCUCUGAGCCAUUUGUCCAGCCACAUCAUUUGCAGAUGAGAUCCUGAGACUCAGGCUGGAAAAGUGACCGGGGAAAAGUCACACAAGUCAGAGGCAGAGCUGGAGUUUCCUCAUUUCCAGGCCCGUAUAGAUCAAGACGGACGUUGGUCAAACACCUCCUAGUACUCACAUGAAGAAGCUCUCCUUUCUGCUGUAGGAAUGAUCACACACCAUUCCAAUCUGGAUACCAAAUGUCAUUGUUUAUUAAAUGUGUGCAGUGUGCCAGGCAUAUUGUGUCAUAUGUUUACAUGUGUCAUAUAUUUACAUUACAUAUGAUCGCUGGUUCUUACAACAACCCUUCAAGACAGGUCAUAUCAAGCCCAUUUUUCAGACGGGAAAAAGAGCUCAGAGGGGAUGAUUAGCUUGUUCAGGUUUUCCAGUUUCCUUAGGAAGUGGCAGAGCUGGAUCUGAACUCUGCUUGUGACUACUUGGGGGAUGGAGGAGUGAACUCCUUUUUAUCAGAUCCUGGCUGCUUCGGCACCAGAAGAAUGCUUCUUCCCCCUCAGGCCCUGGGGGGUUCCUCUAAAGAAUAGAGACUCCCGGCUUUCCAUGAGACAAAAAGCAGGCAAUUCAACACGGCAAGCCCUUAAUAUACCUGCACGUUUCUCUGUAAGGACUGAUUUAGAAAGCGGACUCACAGCCACUGCACUGAUAGCAGUUUCUAUUCUAAAACCUAUGGAAAUUGUGAACACUUGCCCCCAAAAACUCUCCCAGAAACCUUUAGGACAGUGAGGCUGUGUUCAGAAACUAAUUGCACCCAUAUCUGAGGAGCUACCACAUGAACUUCAUUAUUCACAGAA
rnacentral:lncRNA from 10 species